rnacentral:rRNA from 1 species
CAUCGUGGUUUUAUCAUGUUGAUCACCUGCUCCUGUUUGAACACAGAAGUUAAGCGGUUGGGCCAUGUCAGUCUUGGAUGGGUGAUUCUUUGUGUGAUUCAAGGUGCUGUUUUGA